GAAAGCCGUGUGCGGGAAAACCGCAUGCACGGUUUGACGAGGGGCCGCUGGGGAGAUGACUUCAAACGACCCUGU
rnacentral:ncRNA from 1 species